AUUGAACGCUGGCGGCAUGCUUUACACAUGCAAGUCGAACGGCAGCGCGGGCUUCGGCCUGGCGGCGAGUGGCGAACGGGUGAGUAAUACAUCGGAACGUGCCCAGUAGUGGGGGAUAGCUCGGCGAAAGCCGGAUUAAUACUGCAUACGACCUGCGGGUGAAAGCGGGGGAUCUUCGGACCUCGCGCUCUUGGAGCGGCCGAUGGCAGAUUAGCUAGUUGGUGGGGUAAAGGCCUACCAAGGCGACGAUCUGUAGCUGGUCUGAGAGGACGACCAGCCACACUGGAACUGAGACACGGCCCAGACUCCUACGGGAGGCAGCAGUGGGGAAUGUUGGACAAUGGGCGAAAGCCUGAUCCAGCAGUGCCGCGUGUGUGAUGAAGGCCUUCGGGUUGUAAAGCACUUUUGGCGGGAACGAAAAGGACUGUGCCAAUACCACGGUUCGAUGACGGUACCCGCAGAAUAAGCACCGGCUAACUACGUG
rnacentral:rRNA from 1 species